rnacentral:rRNA from 1 species
CGGUGGAGUAUGUGGUUUAAUUCGACGCAACGCGCAGAACCUUACCUUAGGCUUGACAUCCCGGGAAUUUGCUGGAAACAGUGAAGUGCUUUCAUUAGAAAGAGCCCGGUGACAGGUGCUGCAUGGCUGUCGUCAGCUCGUGUCGUGAGAUGUUGGGUUAAGUCCCGCAACGAGCGCAACCCUCGCCUUUAGUUGCCAGCAUUCAGUUGGGCACUCUAAAGGGACUGCCGGUGUCAAACCGGAGGAAGGUGGGGAUGACGUCAAGUCCUCAUGGCCUUUAUGUCUAGGGCUACACACGUACUACAAUGGCAGGUACAAAGGGCAGCGACACAGCGAUGUGAUGCGAAUCCCGAAAAGCCUGUCUCAGUCCGGAUCGGAGUCUGCAACUCGACUCCGUGAAGUUGGAAUCGCUAGUAAUCGUGGAUCAGCAUGCCACGGUGAAUACGUUCCCGGGCCUU